UUAGUUGGGACGUAGUCCCAACUAGUGCACUUACAAACCCGAAAUUUCCAACCAUACAGGGUAACGCCCACUGCUGUGACGUUUCAUCGCCACUCUAUAUGCUAUAUUGUAUUCUAACAUAUCAAGGUAAGCUGAAUUCAUAGUGAUCACCCGACCAUGACCGACGCAUAACCGCCGCGAGUGAAAAAUAGUGCUCUGAAUUUCUGAAAACUUCGAUUUAUUGCGAACAGAAGUGGAGACAAGAAAUUUAUUUUUUGAAAAUAAUGUGCAAUUGAGCUUGAAUUACGGUAUUAGAAACGUAGCGGAUAUAAUUUGAAAGGUCACAUAAUUCUAUGAAUGGGAUAGUAAAUUAAUUGGGUCAUAGUGCUUGACGGCUUGCAAUAUUUUAACUUACUCAUCCGCCUUAUCAUCACAUUUUUUUGUAUUAUAUUCCAGAAUUUUUUGAAAAAAGACAUUAUUUAUCGGAUAAAUUUUGUAGUUUAUAAUUGCAAAGUGGAUAUUGAAAUAGAAUUAGCCAGAGAUGUAGAUAAUCUAUUCGUCUCUGAAUUAGCCGAUAAUUAGGUUAAAUGAAUCCGACAACUUCCGGUAUAUUUUUCGACCUACUUCACGAGCAUAAUUAUCAGCCUGUUAAGCUCAUAAGGGAAAUAAAAGAUUAUUUACUUUAAUAUUCACUUGGAAAGGCUGGUACAUGUAGCUAGAAAAAAAGUACAGUAUAAGAUUAAAGAAAGACUAGAAGAUUAUUACAAACAACAGGUGGACAUGUGUCACUGUCAAGCGAAUGAAGAUAAGCAUCACAUUCGGUGGGAAUCUCCAGUUUCCAGAUGUAGUGAUCAUAACUGUACAGGCACCAUUAACACUUUGGACUAGUUGGAGUAUUGUAGAGGGCUAGUCUGAAUUGAAUCCCCUGUCAAUAGUAAAGGCCAGUCAUGAACAUUGUGUUGAAGGAAAAUGUUAAAACUCGGAUUUUCCGCUUAACCAAUCAUUACUUUACCUUAUAUUCAGUGCGGUAAUGUAGGAAAUGGUUACUUUCUGGAACGGAGCUGUCAAUUAUUUUUAAUUUUUUAGCUUGUUAGUGUUAUCGUCGGACAGUUGUGAAGUAAAGACAUCGCAGUUUGACUGUAUACAAGUUGCCUUAAAGAAAGUAUGUCGAAAUCUUAACAGUUAUUCGUUGAUUUUGUAGAAAUUGACCAGAAUUCACCUUUGUUUACACGCAUCGCUUGGACGUCGAAAACGACAUGCAAUGACAUUUCAGUGAAAUUUGGAA